rnacentral:tRNA from 1 species
GGCCUCCUAGCUCAGUCGGUUAGAGCGUCGUGCUGAUAACGCGAAGGUCGUAGGUUCGAUCCCUGCGCAGGCCA